AGAGUUUGAUCCUGGCUCAGAACGAACGCUGGCGGCGUGCCUAACACAUGCAAGUCGUACGAGAAAAUCCGCUUCGGCGGGUGAGUAAAGUGGCGCACGGGUGAGUAACGCGUGGAUAAUCUGCCUUUAAGCGGGGAAUAACUUACCGAAUGGUGGGCUAAUACCCCAUAAUGCUAUGGAGCUCCGGUUUUCAUAGCCAAAGAAGAGCCUCCGCACCCAAGCCCUCACUUAGAAGAUGAUUCCGAGUACCCUUACCUAUUAGGUGGGGUAAUGGCCUACCAAAGGCGACGAUGAUUAGUUGGUCUGAGAGGAGAUUCAGCCCACACCGGAAAUGAGACACGGUCCAGACUCCUACGGGAGGCAGCAGUGAGGAAUAUUGCGCAAUGGGGGCAACCCUGACGCAGCAACGCCGCGUGACGUGAGGAAGGUUUUCGGAUCGUAAAGCUCUGUCGGGUGGGAAGAAAUGUAUGGAGGUUAACAGCCUUUGUACUUGACGGUACCGCCAAAGGAAGCACCGGCUAACUCCGUGCCAGCAGCCGCGGUAAUACGGGGGGUGCUAGCGUUGUUCGGAAUCAUUGGGCGUAAAGAGCGCGUAGGCGGCUAGGCAAGUCAGAUGUGAGAUCCCUGGGCUUAACCCAGGACGUGCAUUUGAAACUGCUUGGCUUGAGUAGGGAAGAGGGAAGUGGAAUUCCUGGUGUAGAGGUGAAAUUCGUAGAUAUCAGGAGGAACACCGGUGGCGAAGGCGACUUCCUGGUCCUAUACUGACGCUGAGACGCGAGAGCGUGGGGAGCAAACAGGAUUAGAUACCCUGGUAGUCCACGCUGUAAACG
rnacentral:rRNA from 1 species